rnacentral:lncRNA from 1 species
UUUAAGCUUUCCCAUCAUCCUUUUACAAAAGAAGUCAGCUACAAGUGCAUGUGUAUUAUAAAAUCUUAACUUUUCAUCUUCAUCUUUAGAUGGUAUUCAUCUGAAUUCAUCCAUGACUAUUCAACUUCUCAAAACCCUCCAAUUUCAUCAUUAAUGAUGAAUUAAUAUAUUUAUGGCCUUUAAUCUUAUAGCCUUUGAUCUUUCUCCUUUGGCCUAUAAAUGGGUGAUAUGUAGUCUUGUAUCGUGAGGUGAAAAGUAAGAAAAAA